rnacentral:lncRNA from 1 species
GAUUUCAGGGGAAGAAUGGAGGAAAAAACGGCAUAAAAUCCCAUGGGAAGGACCCCCAUCUGUGCAGGCUCCGCGUGCUGUCCAUAAGUGCGCGCACAUGGCCAGCACAGGAUGUGCGCCUAUGUCCACAUCCCAUCCUCGUGGGGUGCGAGGCAUGGUCUACCCGUAGGGUGUGAGGUGCGGUCUACGCACGUGUCCCGUCACACGUAAACAGAGGCGCAACUCCGUGUGCCAUGUGUGCGCGUUGUCCGUCUGAUAGGCCUCCGCACAGUAGGCCUGCAUGCAAUAGGCCCGUUCGAAAUGCCCUGCACACAGUAGGUUUACGC